rnacentral:rRNA from 1 species
CAGCCGCCACGGUAAAACGAAGGGUGCAAGCGUUAAUCGGAAUUACUGGGCGUAAAGCGUGCGUAGGCGGUGAGUUAAGUCUGCUGUGAAAUCCCCGGGCUCAACCUGGGAAUGGCAGUGGAUACUGGCUCGCUAGAGUGUGUCAGAGGAUGGUGGAAUUCCCGGUGUAGCGGUGAAAUGCGUAGAGAUCGGGAGGAACAUCAGUGGCGAAGGCGGCCAUCUGGGACAACACUGACGCUGAGGCACGAAAGCGUGGGGAGCAAACAGGAUUAGAUACCCCAGUAGUCCCUGUCUCUUAUAA